rfam:Salinispira pacifica strain L21-RPul-D2, complete genome.
AGGAGCCGUAUACGAGGUCCGUACGUACGGUUCUGUGAGAGGGACAAUAAAGGAGGUCAUUCCUCCUUUAUUGCCCUACUCGAU